GUAGCAGACGCUCUGAAAAAGCCAUCUGUCGCCACCGGUUUAAAAUUUCACGCCAUUCAUGACAGACACCAGGGUUAUAUUCCAUCGUUUUUGUACGAGAGCCUGUUUAUUGUUUGACUAACCAUGCAAGGAAGCGAACAGCCUGCGAGCUCUGCGAUGCAAUCGCUCUCUCUGAGCGACAAAACAGAGAGAGAAAAACACAGGGAAUCUCCAAACUCGCUGAAUGAACUCAUCAAAGAACUUCAUGUUAUUUUCUCAUCCGAUCGUGUGGACGUUGACUACGUGAAGCAUCUGAUGUCUGAGUUUAAAAGCGUGAAAAAAGAGUGGAAAAAAUUCGCCAAAUUUGAUCCUCAUAGAUACACCCGGAAUCUAGUGGACUCUGGCAAUGGGAAGUUUAACCUGAUGAUCCUCUGCUGGAACGAGAGUCAGGGCAGCAGCAUUCACUCUCACGCCAACUCCCACUGCUUCCUCAAGGUCAUGCAAGGUUCCGUCAAGGAGGAGAUGUACGACUGGCCUGAGAACUCGGAGCGCGUGGCCGAAAUAGAAGAGGAGGUCGGUCUGAAAAUGAUCCCUCGCGAGACAAUGAUACACGAAAGCGAGGCUGUGACAUACAUUAAUGACAGCAUUGGCCUUCACCGCGUGGAGAACCCGAGUCACACAGAGCCGGCCGUCACUCUCCACUUGUACUCUCCACCAUUCGACACAUGUGACACGUUUGACCAGAGAACCGGGCGCAGGAGACCCGCCACGGUCACAUUCUACAGCAUGAAAGGAAAACGAACACCGUUCGCUCCGCCAUCUGUGGAAAAACUACAAGAACAGGCCGAGGACAACUGAGCAGCUUCCUCGAUCUCUUCUUUAAUCUUCUCCCAGCAAUAUAUCCAAAGACGACACCUAAACCCAGCCAGAUUGUGGAUCUCACAGACAACACCUAAACACAGCCAGAUUGUGGAUCUCACAGACACCUAAACACAGCCAGAUUGUGGAUCUCACAGACGACAGCUAAACCCAGUUAGAUUGUGGAUCUCACAGACGACAGCUAAACCCAGCCAGAUUGUGGAUCUCACAGACGACAGCUAAACCCAGCCAGAUUGUGGAUCUCACAGACGACAGCUAAACCCAGUUAGAUUGUGGAUCUCACAGGCGACACCUAAACCCAGCCAGAUUGUGGAUCUCACAGACGACAGCUAAACCCAGCCAGAUUGUGGAUGUCACAGACGACAGCUAAACCCAGUUAGAUUGUGGAUCUCAUAGACGACAGCUAAACCCAGCCAGAUUGUGGAUCUCACAGGCGACAGCUAAACCCAGCCAGAUUGUGGAUCUCACAGACGACAGCUAAACCCAGCCAGAUUGUGGAUCUCACAGACGACAGCUAAACCCAGUUAGAUUGUGGAUCUCACAGGCGACACCUAAACCCAGCCAGAUUGUGGAUCUCACAGACGACAGCUAAACCCAGCCAGAUUGUGGAUGUCACAGACGACAGCUAAACCCAGUUAGAUUGUGGAUCUCAUAGACGACAGCUAAACCCAGCCAGAUUGUGGAUCUCACAGGCGACAGCUAAACCCAGGCAGAUUGUGGAUCUCACAGACGACAGCUAAACCCAGCCAGAUUGUGGAUCUCACAGACGACAGCUAAACCCAGUUAGAUUGUGGAUCUCAUAGACGACAGCUAAACCCAGCCAGAUUGUGGAUCUCACAGACAACACCUAAACCCAGCCAGAUUGUUGAACUCAUCGGAUAACCAUGGACACUCAUUUGAUUUUUUCGCACAAGCCAUGUGCUCGACGAAAUCAACAAACUAUCCACGGCUUUUGUGGACGACUGUGUUUAGAAAUAUUUAAUUUGAAUUUCGCCAGAUGUCAUCAUCUCCUUCGGUAUGUUUCCCGGACCAGGUUGCAUACGGCAGUGUAUUCAUGCGUGUAGCAGUUAUCCAGACUUGCACAUAUAUAUACAAGUAUAGUUGCUUACAAUUAAUGUUUGCACGUGACGGAUGGCGUGCAAUUUCUGGGCUUUAAUGGCAUGUUGGAAUGAAAGCCUGCAAUUUGUGCGCAUUUUAAAUUUGUCAUGACCCAUACAUACAUGUACAUAGGAAUAUUUACCGUAUUAGCAUAUUUUUUCACAAAUUAUAUUUUGUUGCCAUACACACACCUGUUCUGCCCGACUUUUUACCGCCAUUUUGGAUCGAGAUUUGGGUAAAAUCAUGCAGACAACCCAUAAUCGAAUCAGAACCGUUGUCUUUAUGUCAAUUUCGCGCCUAUCUCCAGUCCUGCGCUGUUUUGAUGUAUAUUUUGAUGUGAAAAAGAUAUUAUGUUAUUUAUAAUGCACUCUUUUGAGCAACGCGGAAAAUUUGUUCCUCUAGUAACCUUUGUUCUUGCUGGUAUUAUGUAAACAACAACGACUGGCGACGCCCACCUUUCUGUGACGUAUGAACAUCAGUAUUUGACACUGGUAUAGUCCAAAUUGGAAAUUGUACUUAAUAAUGUUGCCGCUGAUCAUCAUGGCGAAAUAUAAUCUCUUAUAGAUUUGUCAAUAAAAAAGCGUACGCAUUGAACUUAUGUCGUCAC